AUUAAAUGAAUUAUUAAAUUUGGACUUUGUGGUCUUCCAUAAGCAAAAUAAAAAGAAAAGAAAUUGGUUUUUUUUUCUUCUUCAUUUCCGUCAACCUUCAUCUCCUCUCUCAUCUCUCUCUUUUUCUUAACUCUCCAUCUCCACAAACUCCAUUAAAGCUCAAUUUUGAGCUUGUAUAUCAUAAAAUUUCACCAUAGAAAAAUUAGCCACCAUAGUUAAAGCUUAUUUAGGCAACUUGAGAAGAGGAUUGAGCAAGAAAGAAAGAAAGAAAGAAGAACAAAAGUUAGGGUUUUGAAGAUUUAAGAAAGAUACAGAGACUAGAGGAGCAGCAGACUGAGCUGCUGAGGUGUGUGAAGUCAUCAGCUUGAAGCCUUCGGGUAUAAUUUAUACCCUAACUGUAAAUACUUCUUUUGAUGUAUAUAUUGCACAUAAAUGUAUGGACAUGUAAAAAUGGGUCUUGAGCAGCUUGUACACAAAUUUGUAUGAAGUUUGUAAUAAAGUUUAGUUUAUGUUUC